AGUGAGUCAGGCACAAAAUCCGAAUCAUGCGCUCUCCUUGUUUUUGUUGAUACAGAAUGGAAAGAAUAAUGGGCUAGUUUUUUUAACGAUCAUCUUCAAGAUCGAAUACAAUUGGUCCGCUGUCUGCUGCAAAGGUUAUGACUGUAGGCGCAAAUUAUUUUCUCGAAAACCAAAACACGGGCCAAUGGUCAGGGGAGGUCACUGCCUCUCUCUGUGUGCCAGUAACAGACACAGACGGUUAACAACCGGGCACAGCAUCAAAGAGCCAAGCAGCUGGAGGUGGAGAGAAAACACCCUCGUACACAGCAUCGCCUCGCCUCUCCUCGCCUCUCCUCGCCUCUCAUCUCUGCGCUCGUGUGAGAGAUGAUCAAAUCAUCAUAUGGAAAAAUCCAAUGUGAUCUAAGCAAGAGGCAGAAAGGUCACAGGGAGUCAGUAAAAUGGAUGAAGGCUAAUGAUUAUCUCAACCUUUAUCUAAUCAAUAAUCAUUUAUCCCACAAUAUUAUGGACACUAUAUCCCAUUUUCCAUGAACCCAGGCAGGAUGACAGAGGCUGUAUUGUUUCCUAAGGCAGCUUUAUGGCAGGGUAUGUCUGAAGGGCAGUUUUAAGGUGUGCUCUCAACUGCUCUGAACCUGUUAAGACACUCUUACGUAGUCUGGACUUAGGCGAUAAUACAUUUUUUGAAAUAUUGAGUGUUUGAAACUCUGCGACCGGAAUGGUAUAGAAUAAUAAUCGAGCAAUUUCGAAAUGGCCUACAGUUUUAGCUCCAUCAAACAGUAAAUGUGGGUUUAAUGAUAUAUCAUCACAUUACACAAAUAGUUUUUUUGUUUUUUGUGGGAAUAUAAUACCUUAGAUAAUUUGUUAAAGCUGAAAACAAAUUUAUGUUCUUUGGUUUCUUAUUGUCUUACGAUCACAAAAACACACAUCUUCCUCUAUUAGCCUUGGUCUCUAAGGAGUUUGUACUUGCUACCGUUAUGCUGCAGUAAUUUGUACCGUUAUGGUCCAUUUGGAGUGACCCCAUCCUCUGUGACUGGGAGUGUGUCUCCUGUGUCUGUAUGCUCAGUGAUGCCAUCUUCAUCCUAACCUUAUUGCUUUUAAUGACUCCCUCUUUCCUUUCAUGAAUUCUUUAUCGAUUCCUUCUGACGUCUGGUGAAUUAAUUUUCAA